rnacentral:rRNA from 1 species
UGGGGAAUCUUCCGCAAUGGGCGAAAGCCUGACGGAGCAACGCCGCGUGAGUGAUGACGGCCUUCGGGUUGUAAAGCUCUGUGAUCGGGGACGAACGGUCAGCAGACGAAUACUCUGCUGAAGUGACGGUACCCGAAUAGCAAGCCACGGCUAACUACGUGCCAGCAGCCGCGGUAAUACGUAGGUGGCAAGCGUUGUCCGGAAUUAUUGGGCGUAAAGCGCGCGCAGGCGGCUUCUUAAGUCCAUCUUAAAAGUGCGGGGCUUAACCCCGUGAUGGGAUGGAAACUGAGAGGCUGGAGUAUCGGAGAGGAAAGUGGAAUUCCUAGUGUAGCGGUGAAAUGCGUAGAGAUUAGGAAGAACACCGGUGGCGAAGGCGACUUUCUGGACGACAACUGACGCUGAGGCGCGAAAGCGUGGGGAGCAAACAGG